GGAAGCCCUGUGUUGGUUUUUCUUCUCAGUCUGGGAGGUGCUGCCAUGUGAGAAAACUUCCCCACCCGUAGCAGCAUGCAUCUGCCUGCCUGCCUGCUCUCUGUUGCCAGGGCGUGGUCUGUUGGACCUGUCAGGAUGUUGGGCAUCCUAGGCUGGAUUGCAAGACAGGGCAGGCAGAAGGCUGGAGACAGAGAAAGGGGGCUGGGGGAGCAGGGGAGCAGAAAGAAGCAGCUGGUCUUCAGUGUGAAGUGGGGAGCAAAUUCACCCCAGGAUACCAGGGACACGUAGGCAGUGGGCGGGCAGCUGCUCUGUGAACAGGGAGAGGGUGAUUGAGGCUUGGCCAGAUGGACAUGAAAGGAAAGCAGUAACAGACCCCAGGUAACACACCGCAUUUUCUGUAAUGAUCUAAGCAGGCAGGAGUGCCCUGGGGCUUGGAUAGUUUAAAAGCACCACAUUCCUGGCUUCAGCAAAGCUUAAAGCAUGGCCUAGGUCAGGGAGCCAUUUUAAGUUCUGGCUUCUCUGGGAUUUUUAAGUGACCCGUGACCCGUGAUUGUCUAGUAAGAAGCUGCAUGAACUGAGGCAGAGGAGUGCAUUGCUCACUGACAGAGCCGAGCCUCCCACCUUACCUACCUCCCCCCUCCUCCUUCCAGGGGGUUUUGCAACUAAGGACCUAUCUGAGGAGGUCCUGGCCUAUGACCACCAUUGACAGCAGAGACAUAGCACAGGCAGUAAGGAGAGGGAGGCUGAAGACACAUGUUCUUUCACAGUUUGUGUUGAUUUUUCUUGGUUGAUCGCUGGUAGAGAAAGCAUAAGUGACUGUAUUAUAUGAUCUCAUAUAAUACAGGGAGGCAGUGUAGGUGUGGCCGGGAAUGUGCUUUCUGGAAUCAGAAUGGCAGGAUUUGAACCCAGGACCCGCCACUUACUAGCUUUGUGUCUUUGGAUAAAUUAACUAACUCCUCUGGGCCUCAAUUUCCUCACUUGCAAAAUGGAGCUAAGAAUAAUGCUGUCAAAUGCUGCUCCCCAGAGCACCACCAAAGAGCUUGUGGACAAAGCAAAGCUGAGUUUAUAGCUCACUGAGAUAAGGGAGAUCCCUACCUCAGCAGAGUUUUAGAAGCGUCUAGUAAAGACAGGGCAGUGGUGGGGUAUUUAUAGGUUUUCGGCUUGUUUAGGAUUGUGCAAGGGCUUGACAGACACAGCAAGGUGAGGGUUUCCAAAUGAGUCUUUGAGAAUUGAUGAGACCAGUGGAGUACUUUCAUGACAAUAACAAAAGUUGUAUGUAACUUCAUCUUCCUGGGCAAGAGUUUCCAAAAACCUAUUACUGAAGGCUGUGGGUAAAAGUCAUGCUAAUGUAGACAGUGAUCUGUGUAGGCACAGAUGGUUUAGGUUCAAGUUCUCCCAUUUACCUCCAGCACUGCUGUGAGGAUUAAAUGAGACAAUGGAUGAAGUGCUCUAAGUAUAGUCAUAGCACUUGAUAAAUGUUCAGUGAUUAUUGCUAUUAGUGCAUUAUUUUCCAGUCCAACCCCCAUUUCUCUUGCCAGUUUGCUAGUGCAUAAAAUUCCAUCUCCAGAAUUGUUUUCUCAUAACCUAAGGCUUUAUCCCGUUUUAAAAUGUAAACACAGGCAGAAAGGGUACCUCACUAAACCUAAUCAGGCAUUUACACCUCAGCAUGGAGGAGUUUAUAAAAUCCUAAACAGGAAGCCUGGAAGCUUAGAAUAUAAGCUUUACUAAUCCCUUAGGAGAAAUGGCCCCAUACAUCCCUAAGCUGUUCUUGAGGAGCCUUGCACGUGCCCAAUUACAUGCAAGACUAAGGACAGUAACACUAGGUCCAGGACAUCUGAAUUUCCCCCUUUCAAUCUGGUGUCAGGCUGCUCCCAUCUAGUAAGAUGCUCUUACCUCCUUGGCAUUUGUGCUUGCCCAGGGUUCUCCAGAACCAGUAGGGGAUUUUCUCCCUCCCUCCCUCCCUCCCUCCCUCCCUUCCUUCCUUCCUCUCUCACUUUUUGUCUCUUUCUUUUCUUUCAUCCUAUCUAUCUAAAUGGGAUUUAUUAUGAGGAAUCGGCUCACAAGAUUAUGGAGGCUGAGAAAGACCCAUGAUCUGCCGUUUGCAAGUUGGAGACCCAGCAAAGCCAGUGGUGUAAUUCACUUGGGGUCUGAAGGCCUGAGACCCAGAGGAGCUGAUGAUAUAAAUCCCAGUCUGGGGGCUUGACGUGAUGAGAUGAGAUGUCCGAGCUCUAGCAGUGAGCCUUGACCAGCUUUGAGGACAGCUCUGGAGUGCUCCUGUGGGGUCGUGAUGGUCACAUCCCCGCUGCUACAUCAUAAGACUUCCGUUCCUAGUCAUUGCCAGCUAUUACAUUUUGGGCCACCUUUGGAGACACUGGAUACCUCUGAACACAGUUCACCAGAACAGGCUGAAGCACUGAAGGCCUGUCUUAAAAUGUAAACGUGCUCUUUGGUGAUGCUCUUAGAUGACCUUGGUUACUCAGUAAAGAGCAAACCCUGAAGGAAUGAGACACAGGACAGUAUCAAGGAGUCCAACGUGCAAAGAAGUAGAAAGCAAAGGGAAAGACCCCUUCUUAUUGUCAGACCAGACUCUCAUGUGCUUUUGUGGAAUAAGUAUUUUGUACCAGGAGUGGACAACAAAGUGGGUUCCUGAUGAGAGAAGAUGAAAGGAAUGACCGCGUUGGCCAGGAUGGGGAUAUCAAAGGCCUUCUCUUCCCUCUGGCCAGCUGCUCAGCUCCUUGGAGCAAAACAACCCGUCUGUCUGGGAUUUGUGUUAGACCUGAUCCUGCUGUGGCUUUUCCCCAGACUGUGUAAGGCAAGUUCCCUGCUUAUUAUCCUUGUUUAGACUCAGCUAAACUCAUAAACAGGACCUCUUAGGUUGCUGCUAUUGUUUUGAAACUUUCUGGGCUUUGAAGAUGGUCUGUGAUUGAUUUAUUAAUUACAGAAACUCGAAUUCUUGGUUCAUUAACCCUCACAGCUCCCAACUCUUGGUGCAAAUGGAAUAACUUAGUUGAAGUGCAGCUGAAUUAUCUAAACCUGCAAAAGAUUUUAAAUGGUUGCUGUUUGACCUUGUGGUAUAUGUGCGGCAAACUGUUCUCUGAACCCCAUACAGGACAUGUAAGAAAGGAGGUUUGAAAUCAAAACCGUCCUGGGAGUGAGUCCUAUGGUCACUUUAUGUAUAUUGCAUAUUACUUGGUUAACGAAGUCAUUUGCCUAAACUUGUUUGCUUAGACAGAUAUUAUAACUACUUGUGUUCUGUAACCUCACACCAAUUUGAAGGUAUGGCAAACAGUUGUGGGUAAGAGAAAGACGGGAAGAGACAAACUGGUUCAGGUGUUCUGAAUGAAUGUUUUGGAGCUACAGGUGCUACUGAUCUAAAAUUAGUUGUUUGUAUUUUAUUAUAUUAUUUCCAUUACAAAGCAUAUAUUAAUACAAUAUAUAAGUAUAUACAUUGUAUUAAAUUUAAUGUAUUCUAUUAAUAUAUAA